rnacentral:rRNA from 1 species
AUUGAACUCUGGCGGCAGGCUUAACACAUGCAAGUCGAGCGAGCGGCGGACGGGUGAGUAAUGUCUGGGAAACUGCCUGAGGGAGGGGGAUAACUCCUGGAAACGGUAGCUAAUACCGCAUACCAUCAGAUGUGCCCAGAUGUGAUGAGCUAGUAGGUGGGGUAAUGGCGCACCUAGGCGACGAUCCCUAGAUGGUAUGAGAGGAUGACCCGCCACACUGGAACAGAGACACGGUCCAGACGCCGACGGGAGGGAGAAGUGGGGAAUCUUGCACAAUGGGCGCAAGCCUCAUACAGCCAUGCCGCGUGUGUGAAGAAGGCCUUCGGGUUGUAAAGCACUUUCAGAGAGGAGGCGUUACUCGCAGAAGAAGCAACGGCUAACACCGUGCCAGCAGCCGCGGUAAUAC